rnacentral:tRNA from 1 species
UGCCCGGUAGCCAAGUGGUAAGGCAAUGGCCUUUGAAGCCAUCAUUUCGUAGGUUCGAAUCCUACCCGGGCAA